UACGAAGGGGGCUAGCGUUGCUCGGAAUUACUGGGCGUAAAGCGCACGUAGGCGGUCUUUUAAGUCGGGGGUGAAAUCCUGGAGCUCAACUCCAGAACUGCCUUCGAUACUGGAAGACUUGAGUCCGGGAGAGGUGAGUGGAACUGCGAGUGUAGAGGUGAAAUUCGUAGAUAUUCGGAAGAACACCAGUGGCGAAGGCGGCUCACUGGCCCGGUACUGACGCUCAGGUGCGAAAGCGUGGGGAGCAAACAGG
rnacentral:rRNA from 1 species